GAAUCCCUACCCAGAUCGAAAACUGCAACCAAUAGUACCCAAGAUGCCAAGAAACCAAAUAAAUUACUUCUCAGGAAGCUCUUCUACGAGGACCAUGAAACCUUUUCGUGUUCUUCAUCGGAAGCCGAUGAUAUUGACAGCCUAGAGCCUGGAUCUUACUGUGUGUGGACGCCAAAGAAGGAGGAGGGGUCUCCAAGGAGCUGCAAGAAGAGCAACUCUACAGGGUCUAAUUCAAAGAGAUGGAAGUUCAAAGAUUUUAUUCACCGGAGUAAUAGUGAUGGUAAGGAUACUUUUGUGUUCUUGAUGCCUAAUAACAAGAGGAAUGGCCUCCAUCAUCAGAGAUUAGGCAGCGAUGACCAAGAUAGGAACCAUAAUAAACAUGGCACAGAGAAAAGGAAAGAAGCGAAAGGAGCUGGAGGAGGUUUGUUUCAAUUUCAAGAACAUUAUCACUUGAGGAGUAAAUAAGGUAAUAAACGCUGCUUCUAUUUGCCUUACAGACUGGAUUUGGUGGGGUUUUUGUCUAAUGUUAAUGGGGUAGGAAGGAAUCUUCAUUCAUUUUGAGAGGUAGCGGAUGAUUAAUAUAUUUUUAUUUUUAUUUUUAUAAUUUUUCCUCUUAACUACAAAUUUUGUGUGUAUUAAUUUUAUUUUUGUUUUUGUAGUAGAGAUCUUUUAUAAUUUCCAGGAUGGAUUUUAAUUUUGUGUGUAGAUAAAAUAAUUAAGCUGUCGUGAUGGAUG
rnacentral:lncRNA from 1 species